ACUUAAAUUGAAGAGUUUGAUCAUGGCUCAGAUUGAACGCUGGCGGCAGGCCUAACACAUGCAAGUCGAGCGGCAGCGGGAAAGUAGCUUGCUACUUUUCCGGCGAGCGGCGGACGGGUGAGUAAU
rnacentral:rRNA from 1 species